rnacentral:lncRNA from 1 species
AUCCCGUUUGUUCCCGUGGCUUUUGGAGUCUUCUAGAUGAUAGAAAAUUGCGCGGCACGUUAAUAUCUCCAUGUAAACCCGACAUGUGGGCCUUUCCUCCAUAUUUCCUGAUAACCCCCUGCAGAAAUAGACAAACACCAAAACACGUGGAAUUGUCAGAUAAAACCCUAAGUCUGGGUGUUGGUUGUAUUUGGAUCCUUUUCUUUAUUUAUUUGAUGAUUAUAUUUGGUACUUAAGGACCGUCAACAACUCCCCCAAACUUACCUCUUGCUCGUCCCUGAGCAAGGAUGGACUCAAGAGUUUCUACAGUGGUUUCAUGCCUUAAAAGUACACAUGCGUUGAAGCAAGAUCUCAUCUCUAAGUUAAAGUAAACUGUUAAGACUUAAAACUUACUCAUUUUACCUUUCACCAUGGGGCUUGCAACCGUCACUUGUGUCUCGAGCAGUUAGAAGAUAGAACGGUCUAGUCAAGUGUCAUGUCUCUUAUUCUUGAUUAGCUAUAGCUCUGGAGUUUUUGUAGAUUUUCUAAUAAAACUUAGAGAUUCCUUGUAUGACUCUCUCAAUUCUUUCUUUUGUGGUAUUUCUGGAUCCUUUCCAAGGCAGUAAUGGUAUAUGCCUUCUCUCAAAGUAUGUGGUAUUUUUGGUAUGAGGCAUAGUGAUAUUGCCUUCUCUCUCACCCUACUCUAAUAAGGCUUGAUAUCUGGAGCUCAUAGGUGGAAGAUAAAGUAUACAUACUUACAAGACAUUUAUUGCAUAGUCAAACCAUGGAUCCAAAAGAACAAGUCAAUAAGUCAAAUCAAGAUGUGCAUGUGUGGCGAAUGAAUGGUGUAUGGUGAUGAUGGUGAUAAUGGUGAAAACAAUGGUGAAAGUCUAAUUCUACUUUUGCUCUUUUGAGGAGAUACAUACCUUUCUUGCACUUGAAGCUUUUUGAGGGAAAUGAGAUGCUCUAUAUUUUCUUUUUCUUUUCUCUCAGGUGGGUAUCUUGUACCUCUAAUUCUACUAUCCAACACUUGUCCAUUUUUACCUCUCGUCUUACUUUUUCUUUUCUUCGAGGUUACGGGCACUUGCCCCUUUUUAUUUCCUCAUAUUUUUUUAUUUUUUUUUCAGAGCACUCACCCUCCUUGAAUAAUGUAGCAAGUGGUAGUAACCAAAAUAUCUCGAGCAUUUAUUUCACAGGGAAUAACAGGGAUAGGAUAAUGUUUUUGGCUAUUCUCUCCCGGAUAGGAGUAGAAUCAUUUUAGGUGAAUCUGGAGAUGGAAAUGAGUGGAUGUAUGUGGAUGCGUACUUCCAGAGUAGAAGUAGCAUGUAUGAGUGAACGUGCAAGUGAAUCUUGAUUUUAACCGCAUGACAAGCUCCUACGGGUCUACACAGCUUGACCACACUCAAUGCUCAUAAGCAGUAAAAAGUAAAUGUAUGGUUCAUAGUCUAAUAAGCAUGUAUAUAUGGCUGUGGUAGGAUUUUAAACUCUCAUCAUACAGGAACUCAUUAUGCAACAUUUUAAAGAUUUUCAAAGAUAAAAUUCUCCAGAAUUCUAGCAUCUCUAGGAACAAAAAAAUAGCAGCUCAACCUUCCCAUAUCGUAUCCGUUAACGACUUAGACUUUAGAUCAAGUAAUCUUCCCACAAGUUCUUUGUUACUACCACUUGCUAUAUUAUCUCAAGAGAUGAGUGCUCUAAAAAAAAGAGAAGAAAAUAAAAAUAUAAUACGAGGAAAUAAAAAGGAGCAAGUGCUCGGAACCUCGAAAGAAAAGAAAGAGUGAGACGAGAGGUAAAAAUGGACAAGUGUCUGACCGUAGAAUUAGGGGUGCAAGAUACCCACCUGAGAGACAAGAAAAAGAAGAGCAUCUCAUUCUCCUCAUAAAGUUUCAAAAGCAAGGAAGGUAUGUAUCCCCUCAAAAGAGCAAAGUAGAAUUAGACUUCCACCACCAUUGUUUUCACCAUUGUUAUCACCAUCAUCACCAUACACCAUUCAUUCGCCACACAUGCACAUCUUGAUUUGGCUUAUUGAUUUGUUUCUUUGGAUCCAUGGUUUGACUAUGCAAUAAAUGUCUUGUAAGUAUGUAUAUUUUAUCUCCCACCUAUGAGCUCCAGAUAUUAAGCCUUAUUAGAGUAGGGUGAGAGAGAAGGCAAUGUCACUAUGCCUUAUACCACAAAUACUACAUAUCUUGAGAGAAGGCAUAUACCAUCAAUGCCUUGGUAACGAUCCAAAAAUACCACAAAAGAGAGACCUGAGAGAAUCAUACAAGGAAUCUCUGAGUUUUAUUUGAAAAUCUGCAAAAACCCCAGAGUUAUAGCUGAUCAAGAAUAAGAGACAUGGCACUUGGCUAGGCUGUUCUAUCUUUUAACCACUCAAGACAGAAGUGACAGUUACAAGUCCCAUGGUGAAGGUAAAGUAAGUAAGUUUUAAGUCUUGACAGUUUACUCUAACUCAGAGAUGAGAUCUUAUUUAAAAAGCAUGUGUACCGUCAAUUUUUAAAGAUAUUGCAACUACUUAUGAUCCAUUGCUGACUCUAUCCUUGCUCAGGGACGAGCAAGAGGUAAGCUUGGGGGAGUUUGUGGACGGUUCUUAAGUAUCAAAUUUAAUUAUCAAAUAAAUAAAGAAAAGGAUCCAAAUGAAAUCAAGAUCCAGACAUAGGGUUUUAUCUGACAGAAUUCCACGAGUUUUGGUGUUUGUCUAUUUCUGCAGGGGGUUAUCAGGAAAUAUGGAAGAAAGGCCCACAUGUUAGGAUUACGUAAAGAUAUUAACGUGUUGCGCAAUUAUCUUACAUCUAGAAGACUCCAGAAGCCACGAGACCGAAGCGGAGGCGAAACGGGGCCAGACCCUGGGCGGCCGCGCAGUUGGUCAGGGCGCCCGCCCACCUCCUGAGUCCAAUCAGGACUCUGCUUUGCGGGAGAUCUCCACCGACCUAAAGGAUGAAUCUAAACCAUACAAUCUAUGUUGGUUUGAUCCACGGGCCCAUAUUCACUUGAAGGGACUAUAAAACCAGACCCCCUGGCCCCUGGAGGAGAGAGCCUCUCAACCCUAAUUCAUUGUUCCAUCAAGGGAGAAGAAGCCUCUGAUCAAGAUUAGAGCCACCACAUCAAUUAGAUAUCUAGAUUAGCAUAGCUACAUAGGAUUAGAACUAGAAGGAGUCAAUCUUCGAUUGGUUUCCGGAUCUGUCAAGAGGAUUCUUGGUAAUUCUCUAAUUGUGCUUCUAAUUGCUUUCUAAUUAUCUUUGUUCUUCAAUAUUAUGAAUAUGACUUUGUUCUACUUCAAUAUAUUGCUUAUGACUUUGCUCUACUUGCUUAUAUUCAAGAUUAUAUUGUUCUUAGUUUGUCAUAGUUAUGUACUUGGCUUAGUUAGAUUGGAUCUAUAUACAUGCUUAGGAUCGUAUAGCGUUUAUCCAUCGGAUCCAUGGGUAAAUGAUAGAUAUUGUGUAGGCGUGGUGCUUAUACCGUAUUUAUCUGCGAUUGUACCCAAUAUGCCAGAUCGUGGGGUGGUUCGUGAUAGUGACAGCUUCAUUGAUUCUUAUAUAGUCCCCCUCUCGUGUAUUGGGCUGGCAGAGCAACAUUAUUAUAGGGGAGUGAUUGCUAUGUUUCUCAUAUUCCUUGCUAAUAUCACUAUGCAUGGGCGUAGUCUUGUCUCGCAAUGAUUGCUAAGUAUGCUUGCACUAACUAUGAUAUGCUAGACUAUAUAGUUGAGAAUAACUUAGGGAAUAUUCUUGUAGUUCGUUCUAAUACCAUGCUAAUGACUUUCUAGAGUAUCUAAUUGAGGUGCUUAUCAUAUUUAUUAUGUGGCUAGAUCAGAUUAGUUAUCCUUGUCACUAUUAUUAUUUCAUAUAUCUUUUAUGUGACACUUAUCCCUGUAUGAAGAGUUAGAUAUAAUGUUCUCAAUUAUACAUGCAAUGAUAGAUGCUCAAUCUCAUAUUCUAUUCUGUAAUCAUUAGUGAUGAUUGCUAAUCCCUUCCCAGUGGUAAAAAUAUAAAUAACGAUACCUGGAAUACUUCCCGGUUAAAAUGCUGCAUCGGUAUUAAUCUGUGCGCUUGCAGAUCCAAUUCAUUAUUUAUUUAGAAGAGCAAUUGCAUAUUUCAAUACCGCGUCUCUUAUAUCAUGCUGGGGAUGACAACUUGGCUUAAGUGGUGUGAGGGAUAGGUUUGGCAUUUUUGGCACCGUUACUAGAUUUAGAGAACUUAGUCUACUUUUGGUAAUGAUGUUAAGAAUACCCAACAAGCAUUUUUGGCGCCAUUGCCGGGGAAGGUUGAUUACUAAUCAGGAAUGGAAUAAAAGAUUUUGAGUUAUCAUUCGCAUCACUAAUAUGAUUGAGCUUAUCUAUUCUCUCAUACAAUUUUACCCCGAUAUUUUUCUAUUUUAUCUUAUGCAGGGGAAUGUAUGAAUAGAAGACAUCUUCCAGGAAAUUUUGUUGACAAUCCUGAAGCAUUAUUCAAGAAGACGAGAGCCAAGCUAAAGAAAUCAUCAACACUUUAGCAGGAAGCUUCAUCCAAUCAAGAAGAUCACCGGAACUUGUCCUCAGAGUUCGAAGCCAUGGCGAACAAAUCAAUCCGCGAGUUCUCAGCUCCCACUACGGACAACAUCCGCACUGGACCUGCUGCAGAGAUCGAUGGCAACUUUGAGCUCAAGCCUGGACUUAUCAACAUGGUGCAAUCCAACCAGUUCUGUGGGAAGGCACACGAAGACGCUAGUGCUCAUUUACAACACUUCCUGGAGAUUUGCAACACAUUCACCAUAGCAGGAGUUUCCAAAGACGCUAUACUACUUCGCCUCUUCCCAUUCUCACUGUUAGGAAGAGCGAAGCAGUGGUUCUACGCUACAAAGGAGAAGAAUACUACGUGGGCACUCUGCUCAACAAACUUCCUGGCUAAGUUCUUUCCCAUGGGCAAGACCAAUGCUCUCCGUGGGAAGAUUACAAGUUUUCAGCAACAAAAUGAUGAAUCUGUUCCAGAAGUAUGAGAGCGCUUUCAAGACUACAUCCUAGAAUGUCCCCAUCAUGGAAUGGAGAGUUGGCUACUGAUGCAGACAUUCUAUCAUGGGCUCCGCAACAGUGCCCGAGAGACCAUGGAUGCUGCAGCUGGAGGAGCAUUCUUAUCACUUACUAUACCACAAGCCACAGCUCUUGUGGAGAAGAUGGCGUCCAACCAAAGCUGGAAUGAAGAGAGGACCCAGACACGCAAGAGAGGUGGAGGUAUGCAUCAGCUGAAAGAGGUAGACAUGCUGUCUGCAAAGCUAGACCUGCUCAUGAAGAAGCUCGACGAUAGAGCUGGAGACAAGAAAGAAGUUAUGCACAUCUACGACUCUCACAUGACUUGUGAGGAGUGUGGAGACACUGGACACUCAGGCAACCACUGCCUUGAGAUACUUGAGGAUGUGAACUACAUCAACAACAACAACAACUACUACAACCGUCCUCAACAAAAUCAAGGUUGGAAUCAACAGAGGCCUAACUACUCAGGUAAUUAUCAAGGUAACAAUUCUUACAACAAUAAUAAUAAUUUUCCACCUUUGAGAGAGUUAGUGUCUAAUCAAGGAAAGCUAAUGGAUAACCUAUCUAAGAAAUUGGCAUCAAAUGAUAGAAUGCUAGAAAAUAUAAAUAAUAGAAUGGAUAAUUUUUCUACUGCCAUCAAGAAUCAAAUUAGCUUUAAUAAAAUGAUUGAAUCUCAGUUAAAUCAAAUAGCUGCUGCUGUUCCUACUACUAACCCCGGUAUACCAUCACAACCGGAAGAAUUAGAAUCUGCAAAUCUUGUAGACAUGUUUGAUGCAGGUAAUUGGAGUAACCCCAUCACUGAAUUUUCUACUGACCGUCUGUCGGUCAAGAGAGGCGAUCCAGGACGCCCCGUCAUCCCGAUCUCCAUCGGCAUGGUGGACUUCCCAGAAGCACUCUGCGACUUUGGCUCCAGUGUCAACAUUAUACCCAGGGUACUCUAUGAAAAAUUCUUUACAUAUCCUUUAUUAGAAACAACCAUGUGUUUGCAGUUUGCAGAUCAGACGAUAACUUUUCCAAAAGGAAUAGUGAGGAACCUUUGUGUCCGAGUUGGUACUUUAUAUGCCCCAGCAGACUUCGUAGUGGUUGAGACCGGAAAUGAUGAGAGAGCACCUAUCAUCCUAGGAAGGCCAUUUUUGAACACCACGGGAGCUAUCAUCUACGCUAGUGCUGCCAAGAUCAGUUUCUACGUCAAAGGGAAGAAGGAGACAUUUUUCUUCAAGAACAAGACUACACAAAUUCCAGAUCAAUCCAGACGUGAAUCAGGAAAGAGGACCAACAGGAGGAACAGGAACAAGCAAGUGUGGACCGAGUCAGCUAAGAUGGUCACUGUAGUCCAUGGAGGCCAAGAUCACCAACUUAAGUCACUGUUUUUGACCAAGAAGGACGACCCAGGAAUGCCAAGCAUCUACUGCUCCAUAAAUGGAUAUAACUUCUACAAGACGAUUUGCGACACCGGAUCGGGCGUCAACAUAAUGGCCGCAGUCACUUAUCGGCUCUUGUUCGGGACCAUGCCACUAAGACCAACAUACAUUCAUCUCCAGAUGGCAGAUCAGACAUUUCGAGAAGUUCAAGGAAUAGUAUCUGAUGUCCCAGUCAAAAUAGACGAUCACCUUGUCUACACAGACUUUCAAGUUGUUGACAUAGGAGAAGACGAGUAUGAUCCACCCAUCAUCCUUGGAAGACCGUUCCUCAGCACCGUUAAAGCAAUUAUCUACAUUGGAACCGGAGAAGUCCAUAUGCACUUCCCCUCAGAGAAGGUACGCCGUUAUUUUACUGACCCUAACUAUAUCAUUGAAGAAUCUAAGCAGGUCAGAAAGAGACGCAACCGCAACCAGAGGAGGCAGAUCAUCAAGGACGGAUGGGCAGACUAUGAAGGAGAAGUUGUAAGGUCAGAAGACGUAGAGUUUAAACAGAAUUAUCCAGAGGAGAUUGAAGCACCGAGUCAGGUAUGGAAAAUGAAGAUAACUAUACAUGAAGAGGAGGCGCUACCGGAAGUACCGACUUCGCCACCCAACGAACCUCAGGACGAUUAAGAAAUUGGAGAGUCCCGUUCGGAGGACUUAAAAACACCGAACGCCCUGCCAAGAGGUAAACUUGGUAGUUACCCUUUCCCUUUCAAUUAUUUCAAUUAUUUCAAAUAGUUUACUUAGUUAAUUAUGUUCGUGCUAUCCUAAAAAGAAAAUAAAAAUAUAAAAAACAGUAAGCCCCAUAUGAGUAGACGAGUGGCAUAAAACCUAUAAGUACAUUCACUGUGGUGGCAUAAAAAUAAAAUAAAUAUUUUUUCUGCUUUAUAAAAACAAAAAUAUAAAAACAGGGAGUAACAAUUAUUAAGGAGUCUCAAGAUAAUAAAGGCUAGAUAUUUAUGCUAACACUUAAUCAGUUCCACAAGCUUUGUUGUCUAUUUGAGCUCCACAGAAUUUAAGAAUCAAGAAGACUAGCAGACGGAGGACAUUCUAAUCGCUGUCAGAAUGCUGCUGACUUUCAAAUACACCUCUGCCACCUGCUAGCUACAUCAAGAGAAAUUACGUCAAAAUUCAGCUUGGGGGAGAGCACCCCCAUUUACCUCGAUAAGUAUCUCUAUCUAUUUUUAUACUUAUAUUAUUUUAGAAUAUUAAAAUACACAUAAACUAUGGGAAAACCAAAUAAAGAUUUUAUGCUUAUAUAUGUCUUUUGCUUAGUGUGUUUAAUAAAUAAAUAAAGUGGCUAUGCUAAUCUGUAGCUAAACAAAAACUUAAGCAUGGAUAUGAUGAAUAGUUGCUCUGCCUAAUUUGCACAUUCUAAGUUCUCUCUCAAGUUUAGAUAUAACUGUUAUAAUUUAAAGCUUGCCCUAGACCUGAACUUGUGGGAUGAAAACUUGAUCUGAAGUCUAAGUUGUUAACGGAUACGAUAUGGGAAGGUUGAGCUGCUGUUUAUCUGUUCCUAGAGAUGCUAGAAUUCUGGAGAAUUUUAUCUUUGAAAAUCUUUAAAAUGUUGCAUGAUGAGUUCCUGUAUGAUGAGAGCUUAAAUUCCUACCACAGCCAUAUAUACAUGCUUGCUAGACUUUGAGCCACACAUUUAUUAUUUACUGCUUAUGAGCAUUGAGUGUGGUCAAGCUGUGUAGACCCUUAGGAGCUUGUCAUGUGGUUAAAUCAAGAUUUCACUUGCACGUUCACUCAUAUAUGCUACUUCUACUCCAGAAGUACCAUCCACAUAUAUCCAUCCAUUUCCAUCUCCAGAAUCACCCAAAAAUAUUCUGCUCCUAAUCCGGGAGAGAAUAACCAAAAAUAUUUCUGUUUCCCCUUGUGAAAUAAAUGCUCAAGUUAUCUUGUUACUACCACUUGCUAUAUUAUCUCAAGAGAUGAGUGCUCUAAAAAAAAGAGAAGAAAAUAAAAAUAUAAUACGAGGAAAUAAAAAGGAGCAAGUGCUCGGAACCUCGAAAGAAAAGAAAGAGUGAGACGAGAGGUAAAAAUGGACAAGUGUCCGACAGUAGAAUUAGGGGUGCAAGAUACCCACCUGAGAGACAAGAAAAAGAAGAGCAUCUCAUUCUCCUCAUAAAGUUUCAAAAGCAAGGAAGGUAUGUAUCCCCUCAAAAGAGCAAAGUAGAAUUAGACUUCCACCACCAUUGUUUUCACCAUUGUUAUCACCAUCAUCACCAUACACCAUUCAUUCGCCACACAUGCACAUCUUGAUUUGGCUUAUUGAUUUGUUUCUUUGGAUCCAUGGUUUGACUAUGCAAUAAAUGUCUUGUAAGUAUGUAUAUUUUAUCUCCCACCUAUGAGCUCCAGAUAUUAAGCCUUAUUAGAGUAGGGUGAGAGAGAAGGCAAUGUCACUAUGCCUUAUACCACAAAUACUACAUAUCUUGAGAGAAGGCAUAUACCAUCAAUGCCUUGGUAACGAUCCAAAAAUACCACAAAAGAGAGACCUGAGAGAAUCAUACAAGGAAUCUCUGAGUUUUAUUUGAAAAUCUGCAAAAACCCCAGAGUUAUAGCUGAUCACGAAUAAGAGACAUGGCACUUGGCUAGGCUGUUCUAUCUUUUAACCACUCAAGACAGAAGUGACAGUUACAAGUCCCAUGGUGAAGGUAAAGUAAGUAAGUUUUAAGUCUUGACAGUUUACUCUAACUCAGAGAUGAGAUCUUAUUUAAAAAGCAUGUGUACCGUCAAUUUUUAAAGAUAUUGCAACUACUUAUGAUCCAUUGCUGACUCUAUCCUUGCUCAGGGACGAGCAAGAGGUAAGCUUGGGGGAGUUUGUUGACGGUUCUUAAGUAUCAAAUUUAAUUAUCAAAUAAAUAAAGAAAAGGAUCCAAAUGAAAUCAAGAUCCAGACUUAGGGUUUUAUCUUACAGAAUUCCACGAGUUUUGGUGUUUGUCUAUUUCUGCAGGGGGUUAUCAGGAAAUAUGGAAGAAAGGCCCACAUGUUAGGAUUACGUAAAGAUAUUAACGUGUUGCGCAAUUAUCUUACAUCUAGAAGACUCCAGAAGCCACGAGACCGAAGCGGAGGCGAAACGGGGCCAGACCCUGGGCGGCCGCCCAGUUGGUCAGGGCGCCCGCCCACCUCCUGAGUCCAAUCAGGACUCUGCUUUGCGGGAGAUCUCCACCGACCUAAAGGAUGAAUCUAAACCAUACAAUCUAUGUUGGUUUGAUCCAAGGGCCCAUAUUCACUUGAAGGGACUAUAAAACCAGACCCCCUGGCCCCUAGAGGAGAGAGCCUCUCAACCCUAAUUCAUUGUUCCAUCAAGGGAGAAGAAGCC